rnacentral:misc_RNA from 1 species
UUUCCGUAGGUGAACCUGCGGAAGGAUCAUUAACGAAUGCCGAGAGGCACAAAAUUCUUCAACACUUGUGAACAUUUUAUAAACUUUGCUUUGGUCAGAACGUGUAACAACGUUUUGGCCAACAUUUUAAAAACCUAAACAUUUUAACCAGAAAUCAGAUUGAAAUAUUGAAUUAUUCAAAACUUUCAACAACGGAUCUCUUGGUUCUC